rnacentral:rRNA from 1 species
AACAAUGCUGACCAUGUUAAAUGGUUAGCAAUUGGAAUGAGAACGAUGUAAAGCCACUAUCGAGUAGCAAAUGGAGGGCAAGUCUGGUGCCAGCAGCCGCGGUAAUUCCAGCUCCAUUAGCGUAUAUUAAAGUUGCUGCGGUUAAAAAGCUCGUAGUUGGAUUUUGGGAAUGUGAAGGAUCGGCCAGCCGGAUUGGCGUGUGCCAUUCGUCCAUUUCUUUCCUUUCCGUUGCGGCGCCGGCUCAUUGAUUUGGGCCGGGCUUGUUCGCGCGGAAUCGUUUACUUUGAAAAAAAGGGAGCGUUCAAAGCAGGCCGCCUUUCGGCCGUUGAACAUUCUAGCAUGGGAUAAUGAAAGAAGACUUCUAGUCAAUUUUGUUGGUUUUCAGACCAGAAGUAAUGAUUAAAAGAAGCAAUUGGGGAUCUUCGUAUUCAGUUGUCAGAGGUGAAAUUCUUGGAUUAUCGGAAGACGAACAUCUGCGAAAGCAUUGAUCAAGCGUGUUUUCAUUAAUCAAGAACGAAAGUUGGGGGAUCGAAGAUGAUCAGAUACCGUCGUAGUCCCAACCAUAAACGAUGCCGACCAGAAAUGCGGAGACGAUAAAAAAUAUGUCUCCCCGCGCAUCUUGUGAGAAAUCAUUGAGUUUUUAGGUUCCGGGGGGAGUAUGGUCGCAAGACUGAAACUUAAAGGAAUUGACGGAAGGGCACCACCAGGAGUGGAGCUUGCGGCUUAAUUUGACACAACACGGGAAAACUUACCAGGUCCAGACACAAGAAGGAUUGACAGGUUGAGAGCCCUUUCUUGAUUUUGUGGGUGGUGGUGCAUGGCCGUUCUUAGUUGGUGGAGCGAUCUGUCUGGUUAAUUCCGUUAACGAACGAGACCUCAACCUGCUAAAUAGUUACGCUGACCGUCUGAUGUGCGGAGAAGCGGCGGGUGUUCACUUUGUCUAGCGACGGGUGACGACUGCUCGUGGAUGCGCUGAUGCGUUGGCGGAUGUAACUUCUUAGAGGGACUAUUCGUAUCCAGCGAAUGGAAGUUUGAGGCAAUAACAGGUCUGAAAUGCCCUUAGAUGUCCUGGGCCGCACGCGUGCUACACUGAAUGGUUCAACGAGUUUAUUCACCUUGUUCGAGAGGACAGGGUAAUCUUUUGAAUGCCAUUCGUGCUUGGGAUAGAUCAUUGCAAUUUUCGAUCUUAAACGAGGAAUUCCUAGUAGGCUCGAGUCAUCAGCUCGAACCGAUUACGUCCCUGCCCUUUGUACACACCGCCCGUCGCUCCUACCGAUGGAUGUAACGGUGAGAAUUCGGGAUCUUAGUGUUUUUUCUGGGGCAACUCGGAAGGCAUAGAGAAAACUUAUUCAAACCUUUUCAU